rnacentral:tRNA from 1 species
CGGAGUGUAGCUCAGCUUGGUAGAGCACCACGUUCGGGACGUGGGGGCCGGAGGUUCAAAUCCUCUCACUCCGACCA